rnacentral:tRNA from 1 species
GCUUCCAUAGUUCAAUGGAUAGAAUGCCGGCCUCCGAAGCUGGUGAUGCAGGUUCGAUUCCUGCUGGAAGCA